rnacentral:rRNA from 1 species
UACGGGGGGGGGCAAGCGUUGUUCGGAAUUACUGGGCGUAACGGGCGCGUAGGCGGCCUUCUAAGUCGGACGUGAAAUCCCUCGGCUUAACCGAGGAACUGCGUCUGAUACUGGAAGGCUUGAAUCCGGGAGAGGGAUGUGGAAUUCCAGGUGUAGCGGUGAAAUGCGUAGAUAUCUGGAGGAACACCGGUGGCGAAGGCGGCAUCCUGGACCGGCAUUGACGCUGAGGCGCGAAAGCUAGGGGAGCAAACGGG